CGUGGAGAACCUGCCGUAUACUGGGGGAUAACACUUAGAAAUAGGUGCUAAUACCGCAUAAGCGCGCAGCUUCGCAUGAAGCAGUGUGGAAAACAAAAAGCUAAAGCUUUUGGUGGUAUACGAUGGAUCCGCGUCUGAUUAGCUUGUUGGCGGGGUAAAGGCCCACCAAGGCGACGAUCAGUAGCCGGCCUGAGAGGGUGAACGGCCACAUUGGGACUGAGACACGGCCCAAACUCCUACGGGAGGCAGCAG
rnacentral:rRNA from 1 species